rnacentral:rRNA from 1 species
UGGGGAAUUUUCCGCAAUGGGCGAAAGCCUGACGGAGCAAUACCGCGUGAGGGAAGACUGCCUAUGGGUUGUAAACCUCUUUUUUCAGGGAGGAAUAAAUGACGUGUACCUGAAGAAUAAGCAUCGGCUAACUCCGUGCCAGCAGCCGCGGUAAGACGGAGGAUGCAAGUGUUAUCCGGAAUCACUGGGCGUAAAGCGUCUGUAGGUGGCCUAAUAAGUCAACUGUUAAAUCUUGAGGCUCAACUUCAAAAUCGCAGUCGAAACUAUUAGACUAGAGUAUAGUAGGGGUAAAGGGAAUUUCCAGUGGAGCGGUGAAAUGCGUAGAUAUUGGAAAGAACACCGAUGGCGAAAGCACUUUACUGGGCUAUUACUAACACUCAGAGACGAAAGCUAGGGUAGCAAAUGGGAUUAGAUACCCCAGUAGUCCUAGCCGUAAACAAUGGAUACUAGAUGUUGAACAGAUCGACCUGUGCAGUAUCAAAGCUAACGCGUUAAGUAUCCCGCCUGGGAAGUAUGCUCGCAAGAGUG